AAGAGAGGAUGAUGGCUUUCUGUGGGAUAUGUUUAUAAUCAGAGAAACUGAUUUGAGAUAAAAUUGGACUGGCCUCAAUCAUAGAGUUAACAACAUCGACCUAACAAGAAACUAUUGCUUCAAUGGAUCUAUGCCAUGCAUAAUUGCACAUGCCAUGUUUUCUCCUCCUCCUUUAAACAGGGUACCUCAAAGGACAAUGUUCAAAGAUCUGAAAAAGCGGGAGCUCCUAAGGUGCCUGCGAAACAUUAAUGAAACAAUCAUGAAAAUGUUACAAUGCAUGUGCUGCAGUGGCCCAUGAACAGCAUGUACAGUACUUAGAAUAAACCCCAUAGGUUGGAACAUUCGAAUUCAUUCAGAUUUAACAUUUGGCCUAGUCAACAGUCCAAUCCAUGUAAUCUUAAAGGAAAUAAUAAAGAAAGUCUUGAUUCUUGACCUCAAACAUCUAUUUCGAUCCCAGUAAAAAAAAAAACAAAUCAUUGCUGUUCUAAGGCAUUUGUCAAACUUCCCAGCCUCAACAGAAGGUUAGAAAAUUCAAUUUCGUGUAUGCACUAGUUGAGUGAUUUAUACCUUAUUGGAGAUCAAACUUGAUUUAUAAUCUACCCAAAUUAAUAUAAGGUCCUCUAUAAGAAGGUAUACCCUUUUCAGUGGAGGAUCGAGUUCGAGUUCAGUAUUUGAAGCCCUUUCCAUCGGAAGAAAAAGUACUAGUUUAUUUUGUACGAAAGAAACUAUUAUGACUCGAACUUAACCUCUAGCG
rnacentral:lncRNA from 1 species